CCCCCAGUCUCAUCGUCACUCUCCCUCUCUUCCAGUGAGUCUUCUACCAUCACUCUCCAUCUUUUCCCUCUCUUCCUUUCCAUCUGCUCGCCGCCCGCUUGAGACCUACCCAUGCCACUUCAAAUGAUGACACAGCGUCGUCGCCACCAUGUAGGUAGCACCGCAUAACGCAGCGCGGCGUCCCACAUCUCUGGCCAAUCACCAUGAUUUGCAGCUGUGAAAUGACACCGCGGAGCUGAUCCACCACUCUAGCAACUCGCUUUGUGAAGAAGCCGUGCGUCAGUGUGUGCCACAUCUCCGGCGACACCACCGUUGCAGAUUUGCCAUUUCUCGUCGCCGCUGUGGGUUGAGGACGAGUGUGAUUGCUACCGAAUCUGAUCUUUUUGUUGCUUUUGCUUUCUAUGUGGUUGAUUUGGGUGUUGUUAGUGUGUUGGUGGCGACGGUCGUUGUGGUUUCUAGUGAUGGUGUAGGUUGUUGGUUUCGGAGUUUGUGUGGGUAGUGGUGGUGUUGUUACUGUGACGGUGAUUUUGUAUUGACGUGGGUUGGUUUGGUUAUUGUGACGGUGAUUUUGGGUUGAUGUGGUGUGUGGUGGUGGUUUUGCAGUCUGUUGAGACGAUAGUG
rnacentral:lncRNA from 1 species